UACGUAGGGUGCAAGCGUUGUCCGGAAUUAUUGGGCGUAAAGAGCUCGUAGGCGGUUCGUCGCGUCGGCUGUGAAAACCUGAGGCUCAGCCUCAGGCCUGCAGUCGAUACGGGCGGACUUGAGUACUGCAGGGGAGACUGGAAUUCCUGGUGUAGCGGUGAAAUGCGCAGAUAUCAGGAGGAACACCGGUGGCGAAGGCGGGUCUCUGGGCAGUAACUGACGCUGAGGAGCGAAAGCGUGGGGAGCAAACAGG
rnacentral:rRNA from 1 species